UGGAGAAUCCCAUGAACCAUCAAGUUUCUGAACGCAAGUUGCGCCUGAAGCCAUUAAGCCGAUGGUGACCUGCCUGGGCGUCACACGCCGUUGCCCCCCCAGCACCUCCCUUGGAAGCGUCGGUGAGCGGACGAUGGCUUUCAGUAUGUCACCACACGUGGUUGGCACAAAUGUUUAGUCCCCGGCGACGAACGCCACGACAAUCGUUGGUUGUCAAACCUCGGUUGCUUGUUGUGCACUUUCACCGAGCUUUGGGUGGCUCACGAUGCUUAUUGCUUUACUUCGGCGGAGCCUCCAUUAAGCCGAUGGUGACCUGCCUGGGCGUCACACGCAGUUGCCCCCUCCCCGGCACCUCCCUUGGAAGCGUCGGUGAGCGAACGAUGGCUUUCAGUACGUCACCACACGUGGUUGGCACAAAUGUUUAGUCCCUGGCAACGAACGCCACGACAAUCGUUGGUUGUCAAACCUCGGUUGCUUGUUGUGCACUUUCAUCGAGCUCUGGGCGGCUCAUGAUGCUCACUGCUUUACUUCGGCGGAGCCUUCAACGCGACCCCAGGUCAGGCAGGGUUACCCACUAAAUUU
rnacentral:rRNA from 1 species